rnacentral:rRNA from 1 species
CUACGGGCCGCAGCAGUGGGGAAUAUUGCACAAUGGGCGCAAGCCUGAUGCAGCCAUGCCGCGUGUAUGAAGAAGGCCUUCGGGUUGUAAAGUACUUUCAGCGGGGAGGAAGGGAGUAAAGUUAAUACCUUUGCUCAUUGACGUUACCCGCAGAAGAAGCACCGGCUAAGUCCGUGCCAGCAGCCGCGGUAAUACGGAGGGUGCAAGCGUUAAUCGGAAUUACUGGGCGUAAAGCGCACGCAGGCGGUUUGUUAAGUCAGAUGUGAAAUCCCCGGGCUCAACCUGGGAACUGCAUCUGAUACUGGCAAGCUUGAGUCUCGUAGAGGGGGGUAGAAUUCCAGGUGUAGCGGUGAAAUGCGUAGAGAUCUGGAGGAAUACCGGUGGCGAAGGCGGCCCCCUGGACGAAGACUGACGCUCAGGUGCGAAAGCGUGGGGAGCAAACAGGAUUAGAUACCCUCGUAGUC